rnacentral:misc_RNA from 1 species
UUUCCGUAGGUGAACCUGCGGAAGGAUCAUUACCACACCUUUUUUUAUCUUGAUUGUCUACGAUUUCAUCAUUGUUGGCUUUCAAAUAUAAGGGAUGAAAGGGGAAAGGCCAAGGUCAAACUCCCUUCCUUUUUCUUCCUUGUAUUGUCCCGCGUAAAAAAAAAGGAGAAUCUUCAACGAUUCUCUUUCGAGAUUUCAAAAGCCUUUGGCUUUUUUUAUCUCGGGAAUAAGAGCCGAUUCUUUCGUGUUUCUCUUUAUUCUUUUCUUGUUUUUCACGUUGUCUUGAAAAAAGAAAUCUUUGAUUUUUUCCUUUUCUUACGAAAGAAAAAAAAAAAUAUGACCUUGAUAAAUAUUAUACCACAAUGAAGAAAAAAAGGAAAAAAAAGGGCUUAGAGAAGGUCUAGCAUCUUUUCUUUCUUUUUCCAUUUUUUUUUUCCAUCGAGUUUUAAGAAAUGAAAACCAAACACUUUCAGCAACGGAUGUCUUGGUUCCC